CUGAGUUAUCUAACUCCCAAACCAUUGUGAACUUACCACUGUUGCCUCGGCGGCAGUCCUCUUUCACGAGAGGCGGCCGCCGGUGGACUACUAAACUCUUGUUAAUUUUUGUCAAUCUGAAUAAAAAACUUAAUAAGUUA
rnacentral:misc_RNA from 1 species